CUCCACUCUACCGUACCCAUACAUCCCAUACACUUUGACUGACAUUCAAUUAAAAGGGUUAGGGAGGAAUCCGGACGCUUGCAGAUGAGGAAGUAAGGGUCCCAUGGAGUUGGAGCCAAUGCCAUCUGACAUUGGGCGAGAGGCGGGGAACAUCCUGGACAGGUCGUCAGUCAAUCACAGGAAAGCAGAGGACGGUGGGGAUAUGACAUGCAACAAAUGUCACAAUGCUGGAAUCGAACCGGGACGUAGUGGUUAAAUGGGCUGUAACCACUCGACUACCAAAGUGCUCCCUAACCUCUUUGUUUUGAAGUUAACUUGUCUCUGGAUAAAAUUAAAAUGCAAAUAAAUACACU